rfam:Otolemur garnettii contig009880, whole genome shotgun sequence.
ACCCUGGUUCUUCUAAGAACCACAAAAACCUCAAUUUGAAUAAGG